CAGACUCCCAAGAGAUGAUUCCCACAUGUGAGAAAGCCCAGGAGAAGCGGAUGGCGGAUGGCGUUUCUCAAGCUCGCUGACGUCACUCAAGUUCAUGAUCCAAGGCUUCACCCUACUGGGGUUGGGGGGUUGGGUUCUACUGGAAGAGUGAAGCUGGUGGAUUAAGAAAAGUGGUGGUAGGGAGAGGGAGGGAAAGGAGUUCUUUCUGCUAGUCAAAGGAGAAACCAAAUAAAAUGAAUGAAGUCCAAGAAAAAUACAACUCUAUUGUUUUGGGGGCAUAAGAGGCUGGCUUGGAGGCUUCAUUGAGUAAUUCGAGUCACACCCUUUCUCUGUGGGCCUGAAGGAAUGUUGGCUGUUUCUCUGGAGCCCAGGUGGGAGGUGGGUAGACAGGUCUAUGGAGAUGAGAAUUUCUUGGAGCUGUUAACUCUCUGAAUAUCCCCACGGCCUUGCAAGCUGGGAGGCUGGGACACAAAGAAGCAGGAAUGCAGUACUGAAUCAAGGCCAAGGAGCAGCGGCCAUGGGAGGGGACGGCGGGAAGAGAAAAAGGCGGAAGAAACCUAGAAAACAGGGAAGGAAGUGACCCUGUUCUUUUUCUCCUCUUUUGAACAGGGGCUUCUCUGUAGUAGCACUCUGGAUUCCGAACUCCUGGGUUCUCUCUUUCUUUUGACCAACUUGGUCUGCGACUUUAGAAAAGCUAUGCCACGUUCUCUGUGCUUCAGUUCUACCUCUUGCUCAAAGAAAGUUGUAAUCAUAACACAUGGGAUUUGAAACUGUGGUCAAGAAUUUUCAGACUAGCUCUCCAAUAAGAGAAACUUCAAAUAUCAAACCCCAGGGCAGCUCGUUUUCAUCAGGGUCUUUUAAAUGACUGACUGAUUCUUGGACCAGUCCACUGAUACAUUCAUUCAACAAAUAUUUAUCGGGCCCCUCCUGUGUGCUAGAUAUCGUUCUAAAUGCUUAGAACACAGCUGUAAUUAAAUUAAUGCCCCUAUCUGCAUAGAGGUUACAUUCCAAUAGUGGGGACAGAUCAUAAGGAAAGAAACAAACAUACAGUUUGAUGUCACAAA
rnacentral:lncRNA from 1 species